rnacentral:rRNA from 1 species
AUUGAACGCUGGCGGCAUGCUUUACACAUGCAAGUCGAACGGUAACAGGCCUUCGGGCGCUGACGAGUGGCGAACGGGUGAGUAAUGCAUCGGAACGUGCCCAGUCGUGGGGGAUAACUAUCCGAAAGGAUAGCUAAUACCGCAUACGAUCUGCGGAUGAAAGCGGGGGACCUUCGGGCCUCGCGCGAUUGGAGCGGCCGAUGUCAGAUUAGGUAGUUGGUGGGGUAAAGGCUCACCAAGCCAACGAUCUGUAGCUGGUCUGAGAGGACGACCAGCCACACUGGGACUGAGACACGGCCCAGACUCCUACGGGAGGCAGCAGUGGGGAAUUUUGGACAAUGGGCGCAAGCCUGAUCCAGCAAUGCCGCGUGCAGGAAGAAGGCCUUCGGGUUGUAAACUGCUUUUGUACGGAACGAAACGGCUCUGGUUAAUACCCGGGGCUAAUGACGGUACCGUAAGAAUAAGCACCGGCUAACUACGUGCCAGCCGCCGCAGUAACAC